CCAGCGCAGGAAGUUCUGUAGUUCUGUGAUCCUGGUACAAAGAAUUUUGGAAAAUGGAGAGAAGAGUAAAGAGAGUUGUUAACCUACUGGUUAUCUGGAAACCAUGCCACCUUAAGUAUUUUUAAUCCUUUUUUGAUUCUGAAUUCCUGAGC